rnacentral:rRNA from 1 species
GACGAACGCUGGCAGCGUGCCUAAUACAUGCAAGUAGAACGCUGAAGGAGGAGCUUGCUUCUCUGGAUGAGUUGCGAACGGGUGAGUAACGCGUAGGUAACCUGCCUGGUAGCGGGGGAUAACUAUUGGAAACGAUAGCUAAUACCGCAUAAUAGUAGAUGUUGCAUGACAUUUGCUUAAAAGGUGCAAUUGCAUCACUACCAGAUGGACCUGCGUUGUAUUAGCUAGUUGGUGGGGUAACGGCUCACCAAGGCGACGAUACAUAGCCGACCUGAGAGGGUGAUCGGCCACACUGGGACUGAGACACGGCCCAGACUCCUACGGGAGGCAGCAGUAGGGAAUCUUCGGCAAUGGACGGAAGUCUGACCGAGCAACGCCGCGUGAGUGAAGAAGGUUUUCGGAUCGUAAAGCUCUGUUGUAAGAGAAGAACGAGUGUGAGAGUGGAAAGUUCACACUGUGACGGUAUCUUACCAGAAAGGGACGGCUAACUACGUGCCAGCAGCCGCGGUAAUACGUAGGUCCCGAGCGUUGUCCGGAUUUAUUGGGCGUAAAGCGAGCGCAGGCGGUUAGAUAAGUCUGAAGUUAAAGGCUGUGGCUUAACCAUAGUACGCUUUGGAAACUGUUUAACUUGAGUGCAAGAGGGGAGAGUGGAAUUCCAUGUGUAGCGGUGAAAUGCGUAGAUAUAUGGAGGAACACCGGUGGCGAAAGCGGCUCUCUGGCUUGUAACUGACGCUGAGGCUCGAAAGCGUGGGGAGCAAACAGG